rnacentral:rRNA from 1 species
GACGAACGCUGGCGGCGUGCUUAACACAUACAAGUCGAACGGAAAGGCCCUGCUUUUGUGGGGUGCUCGAGUGGCGAACGGGUGCGUAACACGUGAGUAACCUGCCCUUGACUUUGGGAUAACUUCAGGAAACUGGGGCUAAUACCCGAUAGGAGCUCCUGCUGCAUGGUGGGGGUCGGAAAGUUUCGGAGGUUGUGGAUGGACUGGCGGCUUAUCAGCUUGUUGGUGGGGUAGUGGCUUACAAAGGCUUUGACGGGUAGCCGGCCUGAGAGGGUGACCGGCCACAUUGGGACUGAGAUACGGGCCAGACUCCUACGGGAGGCAGCAGUGGGGAAUAUUGCACGAUGGGCGGAAGCCUGAUGCAGCAACGCCGCGUGCGGGAUGAUGGCCUUCGUGUUGUAGGCCGCUUUCUCCGGUGACGAAGCGUGAGUGACGGUAAUGGGUAAAGAAGCACCGGCUAACUACGUG